GCGGACGUGGCGCAAUGGUAGACGCAGCAGCUUGAGGAGCUGUGCCCUUACGGGCAUGUGGGUUCAAGUCCCACCGUCCGCA
rnacentral:tRNA from 3 species